UACAGAGGUCUCAACCGUUGUUCGGAUUCAUUGGGCGUAAAGGGUGCGUAGGCGGUCGUGCAAGUCGGAUGAUGAAAUCUCAGGGCUCAACCCCUGAAACUGCAUUCGAUACUGCGUGGCUGAGAGUGCUGGAGAGGAGACUGGAAUUACGGUGUAAGCGUGAAAUGCGUAGAUAUCGUAAGGAAGACCAGGUGGCGAAGGCGAGUCUCUGGGCAGUGAACUGACGCGAGGCAGCGAAAGCCGUG
rnacentral:rRNA from 1 species